GGAAUAUUGCACAAUGGGGGAAACCCUGAUGCAGCCAUGCCGCGUGUGUGAAGAAGGCCUUCGGGUUGUAAAGCACUUUCAGUGGGGAGGAAAGGUGAGUGGCGAAUACCCACUUACUGUGACGUUACCCACAGAAGAAGCACCAGCUAACUCCGUGCCAGCAGCCGCGGUAAUACGGAGGGUGCAAGCGUUAAUCGGAAUGACUGGGCGUAAAGCGCACGCAGGCGGUCUGCUAAGCCAGAUGUGAAAGCCCCGGGCUCAACCUGGGAACUGCAUUUGGAACUGGCAGGCUAGAGUCUUGGAGAGGGGGGUAGAAUUUCCGGUGUAGCGGUGAAAUGCGUAGAGAUCGGAAGGAAUACCAGUGGCGAAGGCGGCCCCCUGGCCAAAGACUGACGCUCAGGUGCGAAAGCGUGGGGAGCAAAC
rnacentral:rRNA from 1 species